AGAGUUUGAUCCUGGCUCAGAUUGAACGCUGGCGGAAUGCUUUACACAUGCAAGUCGAGCGGCAGCGCGGGGGCAACCCUGGCGGCGAGCGGCGAACGGGUGAGUAAUGUACCGGAACGUACCCAGUCGUGGGGGAUAACUAUCCGAAAGGAUAGCUAAUACCGCAUACGUCCUGAGGGAGAAAGCGGGGGACCGUAAGGCCUCGCGCGAUUGGAGCGGCCGAUAUCGGAUUAGCUAGUUGGUGAGGUAAAGGCUCACCAAGGCGACGAUCCGUAGCUGGUCUGAGAGGACGACCAGCCACACUGGAACUGAGACACGGUCCAGACUCCUACGGGAGGCAGCAGUGGGGAAUUUUGGACAAUGGGGGCAACCCUGAUCCAGCCAUUCCGCGUGAGUGAAGAAGGCCUUCGGGUUGUAAAGCUCUUUCAGCAGGAACGAAACGGUGGCUAUUAAUACUAGCUACUAAUGACGGUACCUGAAGAAGAAGCACCGGCUAACUACGUGCCAGCAGCCGCGGUAAUACGUAGGGUGCGAGCGUUAAUCGGAAUUACUGGGCGUAAAGCGUGCGCAGGCGGUUAUGUAAGACAGGUGUGAAAUCCCCGGGCUUAACCUGGGAACUGCAUUUGUGACUGUAUAGCUAGAGUACGGUAGAGGGGGAUGGAAUUCCGCGUGUAGCAGUGAAAUGCGUAGAUAUGCGGAGGAACACCGAUGGCGAAGGCAAUCCCCUGGACCUGUACUGACGCUCAUGCACGAAAGCGUGGGGAGCAAACAGGAUUAGAUACCCUGGUAGUCC
rnacentral:rRNA from 1 species